rnacentral:miRNA from 1 species
UGUGUGUGUGUGUGUGUGUGUGUGUGUAUAUAUAUAUAUAUAUACACACACACACACACAUAUAUAUAUAUAUAUACACACACACACACACACACACACACA